UGGAGAUGAUAAACUGUUUUAGCCCAAUUUUAUAGCACGGAGGCAAAAAAACUGAUGUAAGGAGUCUGGCCC